rnacentral:rRNA from 1 species
CCCGCACAAGCGGUGGAGCAUGUGGUUUAAUUCGACGCAACGCGAAGAACCUUACCUGGGCUUGACAUCCCGAUCGCACCUUAUGGAAACAUAGGGGUCAGUUUGGCUGGAUCGGUGACAGGUGCUGCAUGGCUGUCGUCAGCUCGUGUCGUGAGAUGUUGGGUUAAGUCCCGCAACGAGCGCAACCCUUGUCCUUAGUUGCCAGCAUUCAGUUGGGCACUCUAAGGAGACUGCCGGUGUCAAACCGGAGGAAGGUGGGGAUGACGUCAAGUCCUCAUGGCCCUUAUGUCCAGGGCUACACACGUGCUACAAUGGAUGGUACAAAGGGUCGCCAACCCGCGAGGGGGAGCCAAUCCCAUAAAGCCAUUCGUAGUCCGGAUCGCAGUCUGCAACUCGACUGCGUGAAGUCGGAAUCGCUAGUAAUCGUGGAUCAGAAUGUCACGGUGAAUACGUUCCCGGGUCUU